GGACCUGUGGCUCAAUGGUUAGAGCAUUGGACUUCUGAUCAACAGGUCGGGGGUUCGAGCCUCAGGUGGUCCA
rnacentral:tRNA from 1 species